rnacentral:rRNA from 1 species
AGUGAACGCUGGCGGUAGGCCUAACACAUGCAAGUCGAACGGCAGCACAGUAAGAGCUUGCUCUUACGGGUGGCGAGUGGCGGACGGGUGAGGAAUACAUCGGAAUCUACUUUUUCGUGGGGGAUAACGUAGGGAAACUUACGCUAAUACCGCAUACGACCUACGGGUGAAAGCAGGGGAUCUUCGGACCUUGCGCGAUUGAAUGAGCCGAUGUCGGAUUAGCUAGUUGGCGGGGUAAAGGCCCACCAAGGCGACGAUCCGUAGCUGGUCUGAGAGGAUGAUCAGCCACACUGGAACUGAGACACGGUCCAGACUCCUACGGGAGGCAGCAGUGGGGAAUAUUGGACAAGGGGCGCAAGCCUGAUCCAGCCAUACCGCGUGGGUGAAGAAGGCCUUCGGGUUGUAAAGCCCUUUUGUUGGGAAAGAAAAGCAGCAGGUUAAUACCCCGCUGUUCUGACGGUACCCAAGGAAUAAGCACCGGCUAACUUCGUG